UACAGAGGUCCCAAGCGUUACUUAGAAUCACUGGGUUUAAAGGGUGCGUAUGUGGUCCGUUAAGUCAGUUGUGAAAUCCCCGGGCUCAACUCGGGAACUGCUUCUGAUACUGGCGGACUUGAGGCCAGUAGGGGUCACUAGAACUGACGGUGGAGCGGUGAAAUGCGUAGAUAUCGUCAGGAAUGCCGGUGGUGAAGACGGGUGACUGGGCUGGUUCUGACACUGAGGCACGAAAGCGUGGGGAGCGAACGGG
rnacentral:rRNA from 1 species